GUAAAGCCCUCUGAGGGGAGUUUGUAAUUUGUGAUAUUGGGCUAUACAAAAUAAACUGAAUUGAAAAAAAUUGAAUUGAAUUGAAUAGUGGAUCACAGUGUCUGUGGUUCAGGGUUGACCCCCUCGAGUGGAUCUCGGUCUCUCAGUGUCUCCUUGUGUGGAUGUGAUGACGGACUCAGAAGCAUGCAUGUCUAUAAAUAGCAGCAGGAGGAUCAGAUUCUGCACAGCUGAGUCACUAUGUUUCUUUAACUUCAGUUGCAGGAAACAAGGACCUGGUUCUGGUCUCUCUCACUGGGUUCUCCAGCUCGUCAUCAAAGCCCUCUGAUGUUUUAUCUUAGAAAUGUUCUGAUGGACUGAAACAGAACAUGUUGUUCUUUCAUGAAACUCACUUGGAUGAUGUCAGCGUACAGAUACACAGUACCCCCUGUGUCUCUAGUGCCCCCUGUGUAUGUGUGUGUGUGUGUGCAUGUGCGUGUGUGUGUGUGUGUGUGUGUGUGUGUGUGUGUGUGUGUGUGUGUGUGUGUGUGUGGAUGCGGCUUCCAUCAACCGGCACCCGGGAUCAUUUCCAGCACCUGUCUGCAAUCAAACCACCCUGUGAAAUGCAGGCUUCCUUCGACUCAUCUCCAGAUUGUUUUGUCAUCUCAGAGGAUUCCCGUACCGACUUACAAUGACCUAGGGGAGGUGUUCUGCAAGCAGCGGGCCCAAACACUGGCCCAACAUAGACCCUAUGACUGCGACAUCCACCUGAUCCCAGGUGCCCCCUUACCCUAGCCAUCUCUGAAACCUUUCUCGCCCAGAAAGAGAGGCUAUGAAGAGCUACAUCCACGACUCCCUAGCGACCGGUUUUAUCCGUCCCUCCUCCUCCCCUGUUGGCGCUGGGUUCUUCUUCGUGGGCAAGAAGGACUGCAUGCUACUCCCCUGCAUUGAUUACCGUGGCCUUAAUGAAAUCACCCUCUCCCUCUCAUUGACCCUGCCUUUGAGCCCCUUCUUAAAGCCACUGUGUUCUCCAAACUGGACCUCCGUAAUGCCUACCACCUCAUUCGGAUCCAGGAGGGAAACAAAUGGAAAAACGGCAGGGCCAGGUGAGGGCAGAUAAAGCAAAGGUUCAGGCAGUGGUUGAGUGGCCCACGCCCACCACUCGCGGUUCUUUGGCUAAAAGUUGUCAAUUUUACAGACGGUAAGAGAGACUACAGCAAUGUAGCUGCCCCCCUCACGCAACUCACCUCCACUCCCGUCCCCUUUUCUUGGACUUAGGAAGCAGACUCUGCUUUUGCCUCCCUGAAGAAGCUAUUCACUUCUGUCCUGGUGUCCAGAUCCCUCUCUACAGUUCGUGGUGGAGGUGGAUUCUUUACUUAUUACUGUGAGCAAUGCUGCCGUAAUCCUAUAAUUUCCCCACUGAGGGACUAAUAAAGGAUUAUCUUAUUUUAUAACUUGGAUUCGGGGGUUGAGUCUGUCCUUUCUCAGCGGGCCCCUGCACCUUCUUUUCCCAGAGCCUUUCAACUGCAGAGCGCAACUACCAUAUGGCUCCGGAGGAGUUGAGGCACUGGCUGGAGGGGGCAGAGCAACCCUUCAUAGUUUGGACCGACCAUAAACACCUCUCUUACCUUCGCGCCGCCAAGAGGUUAAACUCCAGCCAGGCUCGGUGGGCUUUGUUCAAUUUCACCGUCACCUACCGCCCUAGUUCACGCAACACCAAACCCAAUGCCCUUUCACAUCAGUCCACCACAGAGAAGCUUACCCUCGGGCCUGAACCCAUCCUCUCGUCCACUCGUGUGGUGGCUGCGGUCACAAUGGGAGUUGAGUCUCUCGUCCGGGAGACCCAGCGCUCCCAUCCUAACCCAAGUAACGGUCCCCCAUGCUGUCUGUUUGUGCCUGACAUUGUCAGGUCACAGGUCUUAUAAUGGGGGCAUUCCUACGGACUAGCCUGGGUUCCACCGCACUCUCGCCUUCAUCAAACAAUGCUUCUGGUGGCCGUCCAUGUCCCAAGAUACCGAUGCUUUCCUGUCAGCCUGCUCCAUCUGCGCCGGCAGCAAAGUCGAGUAUGCCCAUAAUUCCCUGACCAGAUGAUGGACACCAGGUCUUUGUUUGGCGUAUCCUGGAUGUCCGCCGUAGGGGCUGUGGACUCCAGUAGCUCGUGUACUGGGAUGGGUAUGGCCCUGAAGAACGCUCAUUCUCCGAAGCUUCCCUUGUCCGGAGCGCCUGGAGUACACCUUCUGUUCACCUGUUCAUUAUGAUGUCAUCGUACAGGUACACCUGGUCAUUAUGAUGUCAUCGUACAGGUACACCUGUUCAUUAUGAUGUCAUUGUACAGGUACACCUUCUGUUCAUUAUGAUGUCAUAAUGCAGGUACACCUUCCGUUCACCUGGUCAUUAUGAUGUCAUCGUACAGGUACACCUUCUGUUCAUUAUUAUGUCAUAAUACAGGUACACCUUCCGUUCACCUGUUAAUUAUGACGUCAUCGUACAGGUACACCUUCCGUUCACCUGUUAAUUAUGACGUCAUCGUACAGGUACACCUUCCGUUCACCUGUUAAUUAUGAUGGCAUCGUACAGGUACACCUGUUCAUUAUGAUGUCAUCAUACAAGUACACCUUCUGUUCAUUAUUAUGUCAUCGUACAGGUAGACCUGUUCAUUAUGAUGUCAUCGUACAGGUAGACCUGUUCAUUAUGAUGGCAUCGUACAGGUACACCUGUUCAUUAUGAUGUCAUCAUACAAGUACACCUUCUGUUCAUUAUGAUGUCAUCGUACAGGUAGACCUGUUCAUUAUGAUGUCAUCGUACAGGUAGACCUGUUCAUUAUGAUGUCAUCGUACAGGUAGACCUGUUCAUUAUGAUGUCAUCGUACAGGUACACCUUCUGUUCAUUAUUAUGUCAUCGUACAGGUACACCUGUUCAUUAUGAUGUCAUCAUACAAGUACACCUUCUGUUCAUUAUGAUGUCAUCGUACAGGUAGACCUGUUCAUUAUGAUGUCAUCGUACAGGUAGACCUGUUCAUUAUGAUGUCAUCGUACAGGUACACCUUCUGUUCAUUAUUAUGUCAUCGUACAGGUAGACCUGUUCAUUAUGAUGUCAUCAUACAAGUACACCUUCUGUUCAUUAUGAUGUCAUCGUACAGGUAGACCUGUUCAUUAUGAUGUCAUCGUACAGGUAGACCUGUUCAUUAUGAUGUCAUCGUACAGGUACACCUUCUGUUCAUUAUUAUGUCAUCGUACAGGUAGACCUGUUCAUUAUGAUGUCAUCGUACAAGUACACCUUCUGUUCAUUAUUAUGUCAUCGUACAGGUAGACCUGUUCAUUAUGAUGUCAUCGUACAGGUACACCUUCUGUUCAUUAUUAUGUCAUCGUACAGGUAGACCUGUUCAUUAUGAUGUCAUCGUACAGGUACACCUUCUGUUCAUUAUGAUGUCAUCGUACAGGUAGACCUGUUCAUUAUGAUGUCAUCGUACAGGUAGACCUGUUCAUUAUGAUGUCAUCGUACAAGUACACCUUCUGUUCAUUAUUAUGUCAUCGUACAGGUAGACCUGUUCAUUAUGAUGUCAUCGUACAGGUAGACCUGUUCAUUAUGAUGUCAUCGUACAAGUACACCUUCUGUUCAUUAUUAUGUCAUCGUACAGGUAGACCUGUUCAUUAUGAUGUCAUCGUACAGGUAGACCUGUUCAUUAUGAUGUCAUCGUACAGGUACACCUGAGAUGUCCCAAAGUCUUCACGCAUUAUAUAUAAAUAAAUGAGAUAUAAAUUAUAUAUAUGUGAAUACGAUAUAUAUUUAUAUAGAUAUAAUAUACAACCCCGGUAGAACGUCUUGUUCUAAAGAACUAGGUGUUUGAUUUCUAUUAACGAAUGUAUAUUACGCCCGGGUUCUGAGAGGGUUCUACUGAAUUCCUUCUGGUGACAUCAGGUUCCCACAGGUCAGAGGAGUUCACCUGGAGUUCAACAAAGUCAUGUGUUUUGUGUUCUACUGGACUUUAUACUGGUUCUCAUGAGAUUAUAUUUCUAAUGGGGUUCCAGUGGUUCUGAUGAGUUUCUUCCCUUAAGGACCCUGACCACUCACCCUGGACUGGACUGAGUUCUGACCCUCUGACAGGAGGCUGUGGUCCAUCAGGACCAGGACCCCCACAGAUCUCCCCAGGAAGAUGUCAGUUACUCCCUCUUGCACAUAUUAAACACGCUUGUUUUAAAGCACUGUUAUUUGUUUACCAUCUUUUUAUUGUACAAUUUUAUUAUUUUUAAAUUAUGUCUCAUGUUUUUGUGUUUUUGCUCCGCACUUUUCACCCGGUCAAUUUCCUUGUAUGUGCAACGUACUUGGCAAUAAGUGGUUCUCAUGGGGUUCUAACAGGGUUCAUACUUCACAACUCUUCUACGAAGCUCUAUCAAGGUUCUACUGUGUCACACUGGAGUCAUGAUGGUUCUCCUGACGGUUUACACAUUUACUAGAACACGGGUACUGUAGUGGGGUUCUAUGCGUGUCACACAGGCUCUUCUGAGGUUCUCAGAGUUCAGACCAUUUUUCACUCUGAGGUCAUUCCAACCUGGCUGGUCAGUGAUCCACACUCAGAACGUAGAAC